rnacentral:rRNA from 1 species
AGGACGAACGCUGGCGGCGUGCUUAACACAUGCAAGUCGAGCGGAAAGGCCCGUUCGGGGUACUCGAGCGGCGAACGGGUGAGUAACACGUGAGUAAUCUGCCCCUAGCUCUGGGAUAGCUCCGGGAAACCGGGAUUAAUACCGGAUGCGACUCCUUCGGACAUCUGAAGGAGUGGAAAGAUUUAUCGGCUAGGGAUGAGCUCGCGGCCUAUCAGCUUGUGGUGGGGUAACGCCUACCAAGGCGACGACGGGUA